rnacentral:rRNA from 1 species
UGGCGGCGUGGUUAAGACAUGCAAGUCGAGCGAUUACUACGGGGUAGCAAUAUUCCGUGGUGAGAGCGGCGCAAGGGUGCGUAACACGUGGGCAAUCUGCCGUGAAGUUUGGGAUAAUCCCGCGAAAGCGGGACUAAUACCGGAUGUGGAUCUUGGGAGGCAUCUUCUGGGAUCUAAAGUUGGGGACCGUAAGGCCUGACGCUUCACGAUGAGCCCGCGGCCUAUCAGCUAGUUGGUGAGGUAACGGCCCACCAAGGCUAAGACGGGUAGCUGGUCUGAGAGGACGACCAGCCACACUGGAACUGAGACACGGUCCAGACACCUACGGGUGGCAGCAGUCGAGAAUUUUUCACAAUGGGCGCAAGCCUGAUGGAGCGACGCCGCGUGGGGGAUGAAUGGCUUCGGCCCGUAAACCCCUGUCAUUUGCGAUCAAACCCCAAUAUUUAAAAGAUGUUGGGCUGAUAGUAGCGAAAGAGGAAGGGACGGCUAACUCUGUGCCAGCAGCCGCGGUAAUACAGAGGUCCCGAGCGUUGUUCGGAUUCACUGGGCGUAAAGGGUGCGUAGGUGGUGAGGUAAGUCGGAUGUGAAAUCUCGGAGCUCAACUCCGAAAUGGCAUUGGAAACUACCUUGCUGGAGGGUUGGAGGGGGGACUGGAAUUCUCGGUGUAGCA